GACGAACGCUGGCGGCGUGCUUAACACAUGCAAGUCGAGCGGUAAGGCCCCUUCGGGGGUACACGAGCGGCGAACGGGUGAGUAACACGUGGGUGACCUGCCCUCAGCUCUGGGAUAAGCCUGGGAAACUGGGUCUAAUACCGGAUAUGACUCCAUGACGCAUGUCGUGGGGUGGAAAGCCUUGUGCGGCUGGGGAUGGGCCCGCGGCCUAUCAGCUUGUUGGUGGGGUGAUGGCCUACCAAGGCGACGACGGGUAGCCGGCCUGAGAGGGCGACCGGCCACACUGGGACUGAGAUACGGCCCAGACUCCUACGGGAGGCAGCAGUGGGGAAUCUUGCGCAAUGGGCGAAAGCCUGACGCAGCGACGCCGCGUGAGGGAUGACGGCCUGG
rnacentral:rRNA from 1 species